GGAUUAUGGCUCAGUGGUGGAGCGCUCUCCUAGCAUGUGCAAGGCCCUGGGUUCAAUCCUCAGCACCA
rnacentral:tRNA from 1 species